GGGCUGCUCCUAGUACGAGAGGACCGGAGUGGACGCAUCACUGGUGUUCGGGUUGUCAUGCCAAUGGCACUGCCCGGUAGCUAAAUGCGGAAGAGAUAAGUGCUGAAAGCAUCUAAGCACGAAACUUGCCCCGAGAUGAGUUCUCCCUGACCCUUUAAGGGUCCUGAAGGAACGUUGAAGACGACGACGUUGAUAGGUCGGGUGUGUAAGCGCAGCGAUGCGUUGAGCUAACCGAUACUAAUGAACCGUGAGGCUUAACCUU
rnacentral:rRNA from 1 species